GACGAACGCUGGCGGCGUGCCUAAUACAUGCAAGUCGAACGAGAGCGACCGGUGCUUGCACUGGUCAAUCUAGUGGCGAACGGGUGAGUAACACGUGGGUAACCUGCCCAUCAGAGGGGGAUAACAUCCGGAAACGGAUGCUAAAACCGCAUAGGUCUUCGAACCGCAUGGUUUGAAGAGGAAAAGAGGCGCAAGCUUCUGCUGAUGGAUGGACCCGCGGUGCAUUAGCUAGUUGAUGAGGUAACGGCUCACCAAGGCCGUGAUGCAUAGCCGACCUGAGAGGGUGAUCGGCCACAUUGGGACUGAGACACGGCCCAAACUCCUACGGGAGGCAGCAGUAGGGAAUCUUCCGCAAUGGACGCAAGUCUGACGGAGCAACGCCGCGUGAGUGAAGAAGGUUUUCGGAUCGUAAAACUCUGUUGUUAGAGAAGAACAAGUGCUAGAGUAACUGUUAGCGCCUUGACGGUAUCUAACCAGAAAGCCACGGCUAACUACGUG
rnacentral:rRNA from 1 species